rnacentral:rRNA from 1 species
CCUACGGGAGGCAGCAGUGAGGAAUAUUGGUCAAUGGACGAGAGUCUGAACCAGCCAAGUAGCGUGAAGGAUGACUGCCCUAUGGGUUGUAAACUUCUUUUAUAAAGGAAUAAAACGAGGCACGUGUGCCUUUUUGCAUGUACUUUAUGAAUAAGGAUCGGCUAACUCCGUGCCAGCAGCCGCGGUAAUACGGAGGAUCCGAGCGUUAUCCGGAUUUAUUGGGUUUAAAGGGAGCGUAGAUGGGUUGUUAAGUCAGUUGUGAAAGUUUGCGGCUCAACCGUAAAAUUGCAAGUGAUACUGGCAGUCGUGAGUACAGUUGAGGUAGGCGGAAUUCGUGGUGGAGCGGUGAAAUGCUUAGAUAUCACGAAGAACCCCGAUUGCGAAGGCAGCUUACUAAACUGUGACUGACAUUGAUGCUCGAAAGUGUGGGUAUCAAACAGGAUUAGAUACCCUGGUAGUC